GAUGAACGCUGGCGGCGUGCCUAAUACAUGCAAGUCGAGCGAAUGGAUUAAGAGCUUGCUCUUAUGAAGUUAGCGGCGGACGGGUGAGUAACACGUGGGUAACCUGCCCAUAAGACUGGGAUAACUCCGGGAAACCGGGGCUGAUACCGGAUAACAUUUUGAACCGCAUGGUUCGAAAUUGAAAGGCGGCUUCGGCUGUCACCUAUGGAUGGACCCGCGUCGCAUUAGCUAGUUGGUGAGGUAACGGCUCACCAAGGCAACGAUGCGUAGCCGACCUGGGAGGGUGAUCGGCCACACUGGGACUGAGACACGGCCCAGACUCCUACGGGAGGCAGCAGUAGGGAAUCUUCCGCAAUGGACGAAAGUCUGACGGAGCAACGCCGCGUGAGUGAUGAAGGCUUUCGGGUCGUAAAACUCUGUUGUUAGGGAAGAACAAGUGCUAGUUGAAUAAGCUGGCACCUUGACGGUACCUAACCAGAAAGCCACGGCUAACUACGUGCCAGCCGCCGCGGUAA
rnacentral:rRNA from 1 species